CUCAGGAUGAACGCUAGCUACAGGCUUAACACAUGCAAGUCGAGGGGAAACGACAUCGAAAGCUUGCUUUUGAUGGGCGUCGACCGGCGCACGGGUGAGUAACGCGUAUCCAACCUGCCCACCACUUGGGGAUAACCUUGCGAAAGUAAGACUAAUACCCAAUGAUAUCCCACGAAGGCAUCCGAAUGGGAUUAAAGAUUUAUCGGUGAUGGAUGGGGAUGCGUCUGAUUAGCUUGUUGGCGGGUAACGGCCCACCAAGGCAACGAUCAGUAGGGGUUCUGAGAGGAAGGUCCCCCACAUUGGAACUGAGACACGGUCCAAACUCCUACGGGAGGCAGCAGUGAGGAAUAUUGGUCAAUGGGCGAGAGCCUGAACCAGCCAAGUAGCGUGCAGGAUGACGGCCCUAUGGGUUGUAAACUGCUUUUAUAAGGGAAUAAAGUGAGUCUCGUGAGACUUUUUGCAUGUACCUUAUGAAUAAGGACCGGCUAAUUCCGUG
rnacentral:rRNA from 1 species